UACGAAGGUCCCGAGCGUUGUUCGGAAUCACUGGGCGUAAAGGGAGCGUAGGCGGCGUGGUAAGUCAGAUGUGAAAUCCCGGGGCUCAACCCCGGAACUGCAUCCGAUACUGCCGUGCUCAGAGGAUUGGAGAGGUAGCUGGAAUUCACGGUGUAGCAGUGAAAUGCGUAGAGAUCGUGAGGAACACUCGUGGCGAAAGCGAGCUACUGGACAACUCCUGACGCUGAGGCUCGAAGGCCAGGGUAGCGAAAGGG
rnacentral:rRNA from 1 species